AACCCCUGUGACAUACCAAUCGUUGCCUCGGCGGGAGAGCCCCGGGCGUUGGCGAAAGCCUCGCACCGGUAUCAGGCGCCCGCCGGAGGACCCAAACAAACUCUUGAAUUCUAAAGUAUCUUCUGAGUAAUAUAAGUUAAAUAAAUUAAAACUUUCAACAACGGAUCUCUUGGUUCUGGCAUCGAUGAAGAACGCAGCGAAAUGCGAUAAGUAAUGUGAAUUGCAGAAUUCAGUGAAUCAUCGAAUCUUUGAACGCACAUUGCGCCCGCCAAUAUUCUGGCGGGCAUGCCUGUUCGAGCGUCAUUUCAACCCUCAAGCCCAGCUUGGUGUUGGGGAUCGGCACAGGCGCCCUCGGGCGCCCGCCGUCCCCUAAAUCUAGUGGCGGUCCCGCUGCAGCCUCCUCUGCGUAGUAGUUUUCUCCUCGCAAGGGCAGCUCGGUGGCGACCUCGCCGUAAAACCCCCAACUUCUGAAAGGUUGACCUCGAAUCAGGUAGGAAUACCCGCUGAACUUAAGCAUAUCAAUAAGCCGGAGGAA
rnacentral:rRNA from 1 species